UACGUAGGGGGCUAGCGUUGUCCGGAAUCAUUGGGCGUAAAGAGCGUGUAGGCGGCCCGGUAAGUCCGCUGUAAAAGUCAAAGGCUCAACCUUUGAAUGUCAGUGGAUACUGCCGGGCUAGAGUCCGGAAGAGGCAAGUGGAAUUCCCGGUGUAGCGGUGAAAUGCGCAGAUAUCGGGAGGAACACCAAUGGCGAAGGCAGCUUGCUGGGACGGUACUGACGCUGAGACGCGAAAGCGUGGGGAGCAAACAGG
rnacentral:rRNA from 1 species